UACGGAGGGUGCAAGCGUUAUCCGGAUUCACUGGGUUUAAAGGGUGCGUAGGCGGACAGGUAAGUCAGUGGUGAAAUCUCCGAGCUUAACUCGGAAACUGCCGUUGAUACUAUUUGUCUUGAAUAUUGUGGAGGUAAGCGGAAUAUGUCAUGUAGCGGUGAAAUGCUUAGAUAUGACAUAGAACACCAAUUGCGAAGGCAGCUUACUACACAACGAUUGACGCUUAGGCACGAAAGCGUGGGGAUCAAACAGG
rnacentral:rRNA from 1 species